rnacentral:rRNA from 1 species
AGAGUUUGAUCCUGGCUCAGAUUGAACGCUGGCGGCAUGCUUUACACAUGCAAGUCGAACGGCAGCGCGGGGCAACCUGGCGGCGAGUGGCGAACGGGUGAGUAAUAUAUCGGAACGUACCCAGAAGUGGGGGAUAACGUAGCGAAAGUUACGCUAAUACCGCAUACGAUCUACGGAUGAAAGUGGGGGACCUUCGGGCCUCAUGCUUUUGGAGCGGCCGAUAUCUGAUUAGCUAGUUGGUAGGGUAAUGGCCUACCAAGGCGACGAUCAGUAGCUGGUCUGAGAGGACGACCAGCCACACUGGAACUGAGACACGGUCCAGACUCCUACGGGAGGCAGCAGUGGGGAAUUUUGGACAAUGGGCGCAAGCCUGAUCCAGCAAUGCCGCGUGAGUGAAGAAGGCCUUCGGGUUGUAAAGCUCUUUUGUCAGGGAAGAAACGGCUCCGGCUAAUAUCCGGGGCUAAUGACGGUACCUGAAGAAUAAGCACCGGCUAACUACGUGCCAGCAGCCGCGGUAAUACGUAGGGUGCAAGCGUUAAUCGGAAUUACUGGGCGUAAAGCGUGCGCAGGCGGUUUUGUAAGUCUGAC